GGGGAUUUAGCUCAGUGGUAGAGCGUCUGCUUCGCAUGCAGAAGGCCGUGGGUUCAAUCCCCGCAGUCUCCA